rfam:Synechococcus sp. SynAce01, complete genome.
GACUCGGACCGAUGCGGCCGGGACGCCCAAAUCUGGUCAGAACCGGAAGGGAGCAGCCACACGGGAUGCUCCAGGCAGGCGUCGGCUCCGGGUCACC